rnacentral:rRNA from 1 species
GAUGAACGCUGGCGGCGUGCCUAAUACAUGCAAGUCGAGCGAACGGACGAGAAGCUUGCUUCCUUGAUGUUGGCGGGGGACGGGCGGGUAAGACGUGGAUAACCUUCCUCUAUUACGGGGAGAACAUCGGGAAGCCGCUGCUGCUACUGCCUCAUAUUUUCAACGGCAGGGAUCAAAAGUGCAUGACGCUCUUCCCGUCAGUAUUAGCUGGAUCCGCGCUGGAUUAGUGAGUAGGUAAGGUACCGGCCUACCAAGGCAACGAUGCGUGGCUGGUCUGAGAGGGUGGUCAGCCACACUGGAACUGAGACACGGUCCAGACUCCUACGGGAGGCAGCAGUGGGGAAUAUUGGACAAGGGGCGCAAGCCUGAUCCAGCCAUACCGAGUGGGUGAAGAAGGCCUUCGGGUUGUAAAGCCCUUUUGUUGGGAAAGAAAAGCAGCAGGUUAAUACCCCGCUGUUCUGACGGUACCCAAAGAAUAAGCACCGGCUAACUUCGUG